rnacentral:lncRNA from 1 species
UGGGGAUGGCAGGAAUCCAUCUGUGUAUUCACCCGCUUGGCAAAUGUAUGAACAACAAGAUGUAUACAGGAGCUCCAGAGCAGCAACAGAAUCUCCUGACUGCAGCCAUCACCUGUGAGACAACAUUCUAAAUUCUUGCCGGGGAUUCUUUUUCCAUCUUCUACUCACUCCAGUGACAUCACAGAGAAGUGAAACAGGGCAGGAUGCCAGGACCCACACACUCCACAACAUUCCCUGAGCACCGACUCUUUCAUCGCGGCUCCAGACAUGGAGACAGCAAGGAAGAAAGCAGAGCCUGGCCUCAUGAAGCAACUCACAAGUAUUUCUCAAUAAAACUCCCCAGUUCCAUUAGGCUAACGAGAGUACAGCCUGAAAUAUCUCACCUGCCGGUUCGGUUCCAAGCUCCUCGUCUGUCUUUUCUGCUGAAAUAUACGGCGCUGGGAACCAAGAACCCUGUCUGCUCCCAUUUGCCUCUGUGUCGCUCAUGUCUGGAAAGGGGCCUGGAACAAUUAGGAAAAUAUCCGCUGAAUCAGUGAAUGAUCGUUGUGCCUGUGCCACCUGGAUCCCAUCCCGGAAACGCUCGUCAUCUGGACCUUCACGCAGCUGUACCUGGCGCCCGAGUCGGGACACACAGUACGACAUUUCACCGUUCCCGUGUCGGGCCUGUGGCCUCUUGGCAAAUCAGCCUAACAUUUGGAUUCUUUCUUCUUGGCAAGAACUCUACUAAUGUGCUAAUGUGGAAACAGAGAAAUAUAAAAAAUGCAGGGUUUUUCUUACCAGUGAGUCUCACCGCUCAGGAAGAGAUAGACACUGACAAUUUUCUGAAGCACUAACAUUUCCCCUCCACAGAGCGUGUGGGAACUUUCCUCUCCCACAAAUGACAUCAGCGAUUUAGAAAAUGAUUUAAAAUAAAAGGGCAUUUCACAAUAUUGCCAAUAGUGGUUAGCAAAUCUCAUUAAUGAGACACUCAUGUGGAAAUCACUGCAAUUCUAUUUCACAGCAAAAUACUGUAAUUAAGCCAUUGUGCGUCUGUGUUAUUUAGCAAAUGAAUAAUUGCACUCUGCCCCUGAGACUCAUUGCUACUUUGUAGCCUUGGACUAAUAUACUCAUCUCGUCCGGAACUCACUGUAAUGAGCAAGGCAUUCUGAGCUGUGUUCAAGGCCAUUAUACAAGAAGAUAUUCGAGCAACAGAAAAACGAUGGAGCGUGCCACAGGGCAUGGAAGGUGAGAAACACGUAGACCAUACUGAACUCAGAAGAGCAGGUGUUCACUCAGUAGUGGCCUCUGAGUACCUUGCAUGCCCCAGGUUCUGUCCCAGACCCUAGGAAUGUAGGGAUGACACAGCUUCCAGCCAGGGAGGAUUUUGUCUUUUCAAGCAACCUUUACAGAGAAGUCACCAAAUCCAUUUAGAACACUGGCAGCCCUGCCAUCUGUACCGUACCUAAUGUCCGCUCUUCACCCCUACGAGACAUGCGACAUUCUGGACUCCACUGAAGAAUGGGGUGCUCUCUGUCAUGUAUGCAGCUGCCCAGAGUUCCUCUUCCUUUAUGUCUGCCUGGAAGACCCUAAGUCAAAGGAGGUCGGCUUGCUUCAAGUCAGUAAAAUGCACUGGUUUCUACAGGUGCCUUUUCAAAUGAGUGUCUCCAUCACUUGCGUCAUAGUCUGUGAUGUCCCUGGUAAUCUAUUCAUGUAGGUUUUAUUUUCUUGUCCUUACUUUUAGGCUGAGUGCUCCUGAGUGCUGUUUGAUAGUCAACUAUUGUGACACCUUGAGUGAGAAACAUCCAAAGGAUCGGAUUAGUAAUUCUGGGCGUGGCACAGUGGACACAAUGCCCGUGCAGGUCCCUCACUGCGGAGAGCGGGGAGAAGGGGAGAAGGUGGAGCUCUCCUGCCCGGGGACAGGGGCCAGCCACACGGUGGAGGCUCAGACCUUCCAAGGCAUGUAGAGAGUCAGCUGGGUUAUUUUAAGGCCAGACUGGUCUUGUCUGUGACUAAGAGUGAAAGCAGGAAGGCUCUAAAUGGUUAAGAUCUGUCUGUUUGGGCUACAUUUGUAACGAUCAGAAAUGUGAAAUUUUGAGUUUGGCGUCAGCGACAUUUUGUACAAAUUACUGUCUACCUGCUGUGAGGCUGACAACAUGGGGGUCCUACCCUGGGGCCAUCUUGGGCUCAUUUAUACAACAAGCUCCUAAGCCAAAUGGUUUUUCAAUUAAUUUUAUUGGUACAUUUUACAUAUACAUAACAAUCACAUUCAUCGUGGAGACUUUGUACCUGUACAUGAUAUAUCUUGAUUCUCCUUUUUUUCCCAAUCCCUUCCCUUCCUUAUUUCCAAAAGCUUUGUUUCCAUUUUCCUUCUAUUCAUCUUUUUAUUUUUCCCUUCCUUCCUUUCCCCCACCCCCUCCUUUGUUCCCCUCCCCCUUUGAACAUUUUCUUCCCAUUUCCCAAUGUGUAUUACCCAUAUGGGUCCUUACUAAGCCUUUCGGUUUCUCACACCAGAGAGACAAUGUGGUAUUUAUACAUGUAUGUCCAAUUUAUUUCUCUCAAGAGUAUGAUCUCAAGAUAAACCAAAUGUCUUAGCUUUAUUGUCUCAUCUCUCCUGUCUUGUGAUAAAGCAACAUGGGAAAUUAAGGUAAAAAUUGCCAGAUGGGAGAGAUAGUGGGGUUUACACACCUGGCUGUGGCUUUUACAAAAUGUCGUGGAUAAACAACAGUGGAGAUUACCUUGCUAAUCCUCCUGGGCACUCACUGCCUCAGAAAGAAAGGGAGGCAGAUGCAGAUAAGCCAGAACUCUGGGUGCUCUCUGAGCAGGUGUCCAGAACAGCCCUGCGCACAGCAAACCAUAGAAGCAGCACCUGUUCCUCUGCUGGCCCCAGUGCCCUUAGCCAAGGCCUAGGAAAGGAGAGGACAAGAAGUAUCUAGACAGCAGCACCAAUAUCCUCUGUGUGCCUCCCUGACAACUCAUUCAACUAUGGCUCAUGAG